rnacentral:rRNA from 1 species
UACGUAGGGUGCAAGCGUUAAUCGGAAUUACUGGGCGUAAAGCGCGCGUAGGCGGCUUUGCAAGUCGGGUGUGAAAUCCCCAGGCUUAACCUGGGAACUGCAUUCGAGACUGCAUUGCUAGAGUAUGGGAGAGGGAUGUGGAAUUCCAGGUGUAGCGGUGAAAUGCGUAGAUAUCUGGAGGAACACCGGUGGCGAAGGCGGCAUCCUGGACCGGUAUUGACGCUGAUGCGCGAAAGCCAGGGGAGCAAACGGG